rnacentral:misc_RNA from 1 species
CCUUCAACAGAUGUAUGUUUAGUUCUCAAAUCUUCAGAUUCUUCAAUUUCUUCUUCAACCUCAAGUUGUUUUUCAAAUUCAAGCUUCUCUUCUUAUUGCCUUGCUUUUUCAAAACUUUUUGCCUUUAUAUUUGCAAUACUUUUUAUUGUAUCCAACUAUCCUCUCAAAUGAAACAAAUGUGCUUCUUUCCAUGCUUCAAAUUCUUCAAGUUCUUUAUCCUUACCUUGUUGAUGAGUAUGUUAAAUGUGAUACUCAUUCAUAUAUUCUUCAAGUGCUUUCUCCCUAUAUUGUAAGAUUAGUUGAAUGUCUCAAUACUCAUCAA